UGCAUAUCCAAUAAGCGGAGGAAAAGAAACCAACCGGGAUUGCCUCAGUAACGGCGAGUGAAGCGGCAAGAGCUCAAAUUUGAAAGCUGGCUCCUUCGGAGUCCGCAUUGUAAUUUGCAGAGGAUGCUUUGGGUGCGGCCCCCGUCUAAGUGCCCUGGAACGGGCCGUCAGAGAGGGUGAGAAUCCCGUCUUGGGCGGGGUGUCCGUGCCCGUGUAAAGCUCCUUCGACGAGUCGAGUUGUUUGGGAAUGCAGCUCUAAAUGGGUGGUAAAUUUCAUCUAAAGCUAAAUACUGGCCGGAGACCGAUAGCGCACAAGUAGAGUGAUCGAAAGAUGAAAAGCACUUUGAAAAGAGAGUUAAACAGCACGUGAAAUUGUUGAAAGGGAAGCGCUUGCGACCAGACUCGCCCGCGGGGUUCAGCCGGCAUUCGUGCCGGUGUACUUCCCCGUGGGCGGGCCAGCGUCGGUUUGGGCGGCCGGUCAAAGGCCCCUGGAAUGUAGUGCCCUCCGGGGCACCUUAUAGCCAGGGGUGCAAUGCGGCCAGCCUGGACCGAGGAACGCGCUUCGGCACGGACGCUGGCAUAAUGGUCGUAAACGACCCGUCUUGAACCACGGGACCA
rnacentral:rRNA from 1 species